rnacentral:rRNA from 1 species
AUUGAACGCUGGCGGCAGGCUUAACACAUGCAAGUCGAGCGGGGUGAUGGUGCUUGCACUAUCACUUAGCGGCGGACGGGUGAGUAAUGCUUAGGAAUCUGCCUAUUAGUGGGGGACAACAUCUCGAAAGGGAUGCUAAUACCGCAUACGUCCUACGGGAGAAAGCAGGGGAUCACUUGUGACCUUGCGCUAAUAGAUGAGCCUAAGUCGGAGUAGCUAGUUGGUGGGGUAAAGGCCUACCAAGGCGACGAUCUGUAGCGGGUCUGAGAGGAUGAUCCGCCACACUGGGACUGAGACACGGCCCAGACUCCUACGGGAGGCAGCAGUGGGGAAUAUUGGACAAUGGGGGGAACCCUGAUCCAGCCAUGCCGCGUGUGUGAAGAAGGCCUUAUGGUUAUAAAGCACUUUAAGCGAGGAGGAGGCUCUUUUGGUUAAUACCCAAGAUGAGUGGACGUUACUCGCAGAAUAAGCACCGGCUAACUCUGUGCCAGCCGCCGCAGUAA